CUUUCGUAGGUGAACCUGCGGAGGGAUCAUUACAGAGUUGCAAAACUCCCACAAACCAUCGCGAAUCUUACCCGUACGGUUGCCUCGGCGCUGGCGGUCCGGAAAGGCCCUCGGGUCCUCCCGGAUCCUCGGGUCUCCCGCUCGCGGGAGGCUGCCCGCCGGAGUGCCGAAACUAAACUCUUGAUAUUUUAUGUCUCUCUGAGUAAACUUUUAAAUAAGUCAAAACUUUCAACAACGGAUCUCUUGGUUCUGGCAUCGAUGAAGAACGCAGCGAAAUGCGAUAAGUAAUGUGAAUUGCAGAAUUCAGUGAAUCAUCGAAUCUUUGAACGCACAUUGCGCUCGCCAGUAUUCUGGCGAGCAUGCCUGUUCGAGCGUCAUUUCAACCAUCAAGCUCUGCUUGCGUUGGGGAUCCGCGGCUGCCCGCGGUCCCUCAAAAUCAGUGGCGGGCUCGCUAGUCACACCGAGCGUAGUAACUCUACAUCGCUAUGGUCGUGCGGCGGGUUCUUGCCGUAAAACCCCCCAUUUCUAAGGUUGACCUCGGAUCAGGUAGGAAUACCCGCUGAACUUAAGCAUAUCAAUAAGCGGAGGAA
rnacentral:rRNA from 1 species